GAUGAACGCUGGCGGCGUGCCUAAAACAUGCAAGUCGUGCAGCAGCGGGCCUUCGGGUGCCGGCGAGCGGCGGACGGGUGAGUAACGCGUAGGAACGUACCCCAAAGUGAGGGAUAAGCUCCGGAAACGGAGUCUAAUACCGCAUAUGCUCUUAGGAGUAAAGGAGUAAUCCGCUUUGGGAGCGGCCUGCGUCCGAUUAGUUUGUUGGUGAGGUAAUGGCUUACCAAGACGAUGAUCGGGAGCUGGUUUGAGAGGAUGAUCAGCCACACUGGGACUGAGACACGGCCCAGACUCCUACGGGAGGCAGCAGUUAGGAAUUUUCCACAAUGGGGGCAACCCUGAUGGAGCAACGCCGCGUGCAGGAAGACGGCCUUCGGGUUGUAAACUGCUUUUAAAAGUGAGGAUUAUGACGGUAACUUUAGAAUAAGGAUCGGCUAACUCCGUGCCAGCAGCCGCCGUAA
rnacentral:rRNA from 1 species